rnacentral:lncRNA from 1 species
UAUUAAUAAAAGUUCUAUAUAAAACGGAGUGAUAAAGGAGAUUCAUACUUUUAUUUCUCACACGUGCUGAAUUCUACCUUUUCAUCUCGAAUCACGCAGGUGGAGGGUCUACACCACCUGAAUUAAUGAACCUCCUCACGGGUCGACACACGGAUCCAUCCACGUCGCCAUGAACAAGACGUCUGCUUCCCGAAUAGAAAAGCCACUGUCCACACCAAUGCAAAGGCAUCCACCGCCUUGAAAGUUGAGGAGACGUUCUGAAGCCUUCAAGGAAAGGCCUCCGUCAAGGUGAAGGAGAUGAGAUGGGGUACCAGUUGAGACGAGAGUGAAUUUCCACCGCUCACCCACCUGUGCCCAGGUUUGGACGGGAGGUGGCAUCCUGCAGCGCUCUGGCCCUGGAGAGCCACGUCCUCAGAAGAUCUGGAAGCAGGUUCAGCGAGAGAAGCUCCGGAGGAAGCAGGUCGCACACCUUUCCCAAGUCUUCCGGGGAUAGAAGCCAGGCACCGAUAAUAACCGUGCAAACAAGUUGAUGCUGCUAUUUUUAAAUAAGCUGUUAUUAUUGACUAA